AUUAAAUUGACACCGCUAUUUCAAUCGCUAUUAAUCAUUCUUUAUAGUUGUGUGAAAUUUACAAGUCUAUCAAGGAAAAUGUAGAGGUUCAUCAUCAUGUGUUAUGUCAUUACCGUUGGAGAGAUGUGACUGAUUUGUGAUUUUAAAAACUCCAUAUUUUGAGAAUGAUGCUUAUGUGAUAGAUAUAUGUGGAUUCAAAGUUUUGUAGUGCAUUCCGAUUCUUUAAUGAGACAUAUAAAAUAAAUAUUGUUUAAGAUGCGUUGUGUGCUGGAACAACACUAUAGUUGUCGUGAAGAUGAAGAUGAAGUAUUCACAUUCUCUUGAAUUUUUAAAGGAUAAGAAAUCUGCGUGCUCAUCGUUAAUCAUAGAUCUUGAACGUGCUUCUGAAAAAUCACCGGUCAGUUUUGAUCCAUUUAGAGAAAGUAUUCAAUUUGAGAUCAUCUUACCGCACUUGACUCAUUUGCCUGCAUAGUCAGCAACUGCCACCAUUGGAAACUUGAAUUUCUUCUUUUGGAUGAGUUUUAUUUCGGACCAUUGCUUUAAACUCUCCUAGCCGUUUAGCAACGCCGAUAUAUUCUGUAAGUAUAUUGCUAACCAUGUGUUUAGUUCAUAUUAUAAUGUACCUCUUUAAACAGUGUUUGGAACAUUUAUUAUAUCAAGUACAAGUUUAUUGAUAAAAGCUAAAUCGUACUAUUACAUUAUACUGCAUACGCAUGAAGAUUGAUACACUCAAAAUCAUUAAAUCUUGCUACAAACUUACUUCUUUUUCAUCGACAUAAGAACAUGAAAGAAAAAUAUUAAAAAUAAUAAAAUACAUCGUUGUUUAAUAAGAUAAUAGUACAAACGUGCUUUAGUGUCAAACAAUAGUAUUUCAGCGUCAUGUAAUCAUAGUUCAGUUUCAAACAAUCCUACUCAGCGUCAAACAAUUGUACUCAGCGUCAACCAAUUACCCUAUAGCGUCAAACACUUUUACUCAAGCGUCAGACAAUCGUUUUCAGCUCAAAUAAUCGUACUAAGCAUCAAACAAUCGUGCUCAGCGUCAAACUAUCGUUCUAAGCGUCAAACAAUCGUAAUCAACAUCAAACAAUCGCUCUUUAGCGUCAAGCACUAUUUCUCAAGCGCCAAACAAUCGUACUCAGCGUCAAAUAAUCGCCCUUAACGUUCACCCAACAUUACUCAAGCGUUAAACAAUCGUACGCAGCAUCAAGCAAUCGCCCAUAAGCGUCAAGCCCUAUUACUCAAUCGUCAAACACUAGUACAUCAGUGUCAAACCUUCGACUUUCAACGUAAUAAUAGCGGUUAGAACGACCAUAGUGGUCGUGAGUUAUAUACAUUUUCAAAUACUGUUUUUUUUUUAAUAAAUUCCCUGUGUUUUGAGAAAAGCGAAUUCAGAUUAAAUAUAAAACAAGGUAUCAUCUUAUACACUAUAAAAAAGAGAAGUGAUAUGAUUGAAAAUGAGCCAAAUAACAACCAGAGUUCACAUGAAGUGAAUGUAUGAAAUUUAUUUCCACUAACGCAAUAAUAAUGUUGUAGAUCAGAAUGUCCAGUAUUUUGAUGAUAUCAUCUUUGAUAUAUUUGAUACUUGAUUGAACGCAGUUCUUUACAAUGUAAACUUUUUUUAUGAUCUCAAACAACAAAUGUGUAUUUCGAUCCCCCUUUUUGUAGCUAAUGAUCUGUUAAAUAAAGAAUGUAUUCAAACUUUCGAUUGAGCCUUACAUUUCAUAAUACAAUUUGUAGUUCGCUUUGAAUAUUUAAUGAAUUCAAUAGACACAUUUCGAGUUGGGUGCACUUCCGUCAAAAGCUUUGGUUUUAGUUAACAUCAUUUGUGCGUUUACGGACGUCGUCACUUUUGAUCCAAUGUUGAGCGAGUGGUUUGAAAACUAUAAAGCUAUAUUGCACGCAUUAUUUUGCAAAUUGAAUUCUCUUAAUUAUCUUUCAGCACUGUUGUCAUUAUGGAAUUAAGAUUAAGUACAUACGGAACAAAUAUUAUUUCUAGUUUAUCCUGCAUAAUGACGAUAAUUAAGACGCUUGGUGAACGUUUAUAGUGCAGGGAUAUAGGCGAUUCUCUCUAUCUGGUAAAUGACGUCAUCAAGGCGCGAAUAACUGCCGAUUUUUUUCCGGUGACGGACAAACUCGAAAGUGGUCUAUUAAAUUGACACCGCUAUUUCAAUCGCUAUUAAUCAUUCUUUAUAGUUGUGUGAAGUUUACAAGUCUAUCAAGGAAAAUGUAGAGGUUCAUCAUCUAUGUGUUAUGUCAUUACCGUUGGAGAGAUGUGAUGGAUUUGUGAUUUUAAAAACUCCAUAUUUUGAGAAUGAUACUUAUGUGAUAGAUAUAUGUGGGAUUCAAAGUUUUGUAGUGCAUUCCGAUUCUUUAAUGAGACAUAUAAAAUCAAUAUUAUUUAAGAUGCGUUGUGUGCUGGAACAAAAAUAUAGUUGUCGGGAAGAUGAAGAUGAAGCAUUCACAUUCUCUGGCAUUUUUAAAGGAUACGAAAUCUGCGUUCUCAUCGUUAAUUAUAGAUCUUGAACGUGCUUCUGAAAAAUCACCGGUCAGCUUUGAUCCAUUUAGAGGAAGUAUUCGAUUUUAGAUCAUCUUACCGCACUUGACUCAUUUGCCUGCAUAGUCAGCAACUUGCACCAUUGGAAACUUGAAUUUCUUCUUUUGGAUGAGCUUUAUUUCGGACCAUUGCUUUAAACUCUCCUAGCCGUUUAGCAACGCCGAUAUAUUCUGUAAGUAUAUUGCUAAUAACCAUAGUUUAGUUCAUAUUAUAAUGUACACCUCUUUAAACAGUGUUUGGAACAUUUGAUAAUCAAGUACAAGUUUAUUGAUAAAUGCUAAAUCGUACUAUUACAUUAUACUGCAUACUCGCGAAGAUUGAUAAACUCAAAAUCAUUAAAUCUGCUACAAACUUACUUCUUUUUCAUCGACAUAAUGGAACAUGAAAAAAAAUAUUAAAAAUAAUAAAAUACAUCGUUGUUUAAUAAGAUAAUAGUACAACCGUGCUUUAGUGUCAAACAAUAGUAUUCCAGCGUCAUGCAAUCAUAGUUCAGUUUCAAACAAUCCUACUCAGCGUCAAACAAUUAUACUUAGCGUCAACCAAUUAUCCUAUAGCGUAAAAUACUUUUACUUAAGAGUCAAACAAUCGUUUUCAGCGUCAAAGAAUCGUACUAAGGAUCAAACAAUCGUACUCAGCGUCAAACUAUCGUUGUCAGCGUCAAACAAUCGUAGUCAACAUCAAACAAUCGCCCUUCAGCGUCAAACAAUUGAAAUCAACAUCAAACAAUCGAACUCAGCGUCAAACAAUCGCCCUAAACGGUCACCCAAUAUUAAUCAAGCAUCAAACAAUCGUACGCAGCAUCAAGCAAUCGCCAAUAAGCGUCAACCACUAUUACUCAAGCGUCAAUCAAUAAUACAUCAUUGUCAAACCUUCGAUUUUCAACGUAAUAAUACCGGAUUUGAACGCGUACGACCAACGUAAUGAUAGCGGUUAGAACCACCAUAGUAGUCGUGAGUUAUAUACAUUUUUAAAUACCGUUUUUUUUAAUGUAUUCUUCGUGUUUUAUUACAAAGCGAAUUCAGAUUUAAUAUAAAACAAGGUAUCAUCUAAUACACUAUAAAAAAGAGAAGCGGUAUGAUUGAAAUUGGAAAACAAACAACCAGAGUUCAUAUGAAGUGAAUGUAUGAAAUUUAUUUCCACUAACGCAAUAAUAAUGUUGUGGAUCAGAAAGUCCAGUAUUUUGAUGAUAUCAUCUUUGAUAUAUUUGAUACUUGAUUGAACGCAGUUCUUUACAAUGUAAACUUUUUUUAUGAUCUCAAACAACAAAUGUGUAUUUCGAUCCCCCUUUUUGUAGCUAAUGAUCUGUUAAAUGAUAGAAUGUAUUCAAACUUUCGAUUGAUCUUACAAUUUCAUAAUACAAUUUGUAGUUCGCUUAAAAUAUUUAAUGAAUUCAAUAGACAAAUUUCGAGUUGGAUGCAUCAUGUCAAAAGCUUUGGUUUUAGUUAACAUCAUUUGUGCGUUUACGGACGUCGUCACUUUUGAUCCAAUGUUGAGCGAGUGGUUUGAAAACUAUAAAGCUAUAUUGCACGAAUUAUUUUGCAAAUUGAAUUCUCUUAAUUAUCUUUCAGCACUGUUGUCAUUAUGGAAUUAAGAUUAAGUACAUACGGAACAAAUAUUAUUUCUAGUUUAUCCUGCAUAAUGACGAUCAUUAAGACUAUUGGUGAACGUUUAUAGUGCAGGGAUAUAGGCGAUUUUCUCUAUCUGGUAAAUGACGUCAUAAAGGCGCGCAUAAUUGCCGAAUUUUUUCCGGUGACGGACAAACUCGAAAGUGGUCUAUUAAAUUGACACCGCUAUUUCAAUCGCUAUUAAUCAUUCUUUAUAGUUGUGUGAAGUUUACAAGUCUAUCAAGGAAAAUGUAGAGGUUCAUCACUAUGUGUUAUGUCAUUACCGUUGGAGAGAUGUGAUGGAUUUGUGAUUUUAAAAACUCCAUAUUUUGAGAAUGAUACUUAUGUGAUAGAUAUAUGUGGGAUUCAAAGUUUUGUAGUGCAUUCCGAUUCUUUAAUGAGACAUAUAAAAUCAAUAUUGUUUAAGAUGCGUUGUGUGCUGGAACAACACUAUAGUUGUCGUGAAGAUGAAGAUGAAGCAUUCAUAUUCUCUGGCAUUUUUAAAGGAUAAGAAAUCUGCGUGCUCAUCGUUAAUCAUAGAUCUGAACGUGCUUCUGAAAAAUCACCGGUCAGCUUUGAUCCAUUUAGAGAAAGUAUUCAAUUUGAGAUCAUCUUACCGCACUUGACUCAUUUGCCUGCAUAGUCAGCAACUGCCACCAUUGGAAACUUGAAUUUCUUCUUUUGGAUGAGCUUUAUUUCGACCAUUGCUUUAAACUCUCCUAGCCGUUUAGCAAGCCGAUGUAUUCUGUAAGUAUAUUGCUAAUAACCAUAGUUUAGUUCAUAUUAUAAUGUACACCUCUUUAAACAGUGUUUGGAACAUUUGAUAAUCAAAUACAAGUUUAGUGAUAAAAGCUAAAUCGUGCUAUUUCAUUAUACUGCAUACUCGCGAAGAUUGAUACACAUAUAAUUACAUAUAAUUAAUAAAAUCAUUAAAUCUGCUACAAACUUACUUCUUUGUCAUCGACAUAGGAACAUGUAAAAUAUUGAAAAUAAUAAAAUACAUCGUUAUUUAAUAAGAUGCAACCGUGCUUUAGUGUCAAACAAUAGUAUUUCAGCGUCACGCAAUCAUAGUUCAGUUUCAAACAAUCGUACUCAGCGUCAAACAAAUGUACCCAGUGUCAAACAAUCGCCCUAUAGCGUCUAACACGAUUACUCAAACGUCAAACAAUUGUUCUCAGCGUCAAACAAUCGUACUCAGCAUCACGAAAUCGCCAUAUAGCGUCAAACUCUAUUCCUCAAGCGUCAUACAAUCGUACUCAGCGUCAAACAAUCGAAACCAGCGUCAAACAAUCGUACUCAGCGUCAAACAAUCGCCUUUAAGCGUCGCAAAAUAUUACUCCAGCGCCAAGCAAUAGUACAUCAGUGUCAAACCCGAUGUCUUAAAGGCGCGCAUAAUUGCCGAGUUUUUUGCCGAUGACGGACAAUCUCGAAAGUAAUCUAUUAAAUUGACACUGCUAUUUCAAUCGCUUGAAAUCAUUCUUUAUAAUUGUGUGAAGUUGACAAGUCUAUCUAUGAAACUGUAGAGGUUCAUUAUCAUGUAUUAUGGCAUAACCGGAGGAAAGAUGAGACUGACUUGUAAUUUCUAAAACUCUAUAUGUUGUGAAUGAUGUUUAUGUGAUAGAUAUAUAUGGGAUUCAACUUGUUUUUAGUGCAUUUCGAUUCUUUAAUGAGACAUAUAAAAUCAAUAUUAUCUAAGAUGCAUUGUGUGCUGGAACAACACUAUAUUUGUCUUGAGGUUAAAACUAUAAAGCAUUCACAUUCUCUGUCAUUUUUUAGAGGAUACGAAAUCUGCAUGGUCAUCGUUAAUCAUAGAUCUUGAACGUCCUUCUGCAUGAAUCACCGGUCAGCUUUGAUCCAUUUAGAGGAAGUAUUCAAUUUUAGAUCAUCUUACCGCACUUGACUCAUUUGCCUGCAUAGUCAGCAACUGCCACCAUUGGAAACUUAGGUUUCUUCUUUUGGUUGAUGAGCGUUAUUUUGGACCUUUGCUUUAAACUCUCUUAGCCGUUUAGCAACGCCGAUGUAUUCUGCAAGUAUAUUGCUAAUAACCAUAGUUUAGUUCAUAUUAUAAUGUACACC
rnacentral:lncRNA from 1 species